GUGAGGAAUUUUCCGCAAUGGGCGAAAGCCUGACGGAGCAAUGCCGCGUGAAGGAUGAAGGCCUAUGGGUUGUAAACUUCUUUUCUCAGAAAAGAAUUAUGACGGUAUCUGAGGAAUAAGCAUCGGCUAACUCUGUGCCAGCAGCCGCGGUAAGACAGAGGAUGCAAGCGUUAUCCGGAAUGAUUGGGCGUAAAGCGUCUGUAGGUUGUUUAAAAAGUAUUCUGUCAAAGAUUAGGGCUUAACCCUAGAUAGGCAGAAUAAACUUUUAAGCUAGAGUUUGGUAGAGGCAGAGGGAAUUCCCGGUGGAGCGGUGAAAUGCGUAGAGAUCGGGAGGAACACCAAAGGCGAAGGCACUCUGCUGGGCCAAUACUAACACUGAGAGACGAAAGCGAGGGGAGCAAAUGGGAUUAGAAACCCCGGUAGUCC
rnacentral:rRNA from 1 species